rnacentral:rRNA from 1 species
CCUACGGGUGGCAGCAGUGGGGAAUAUUGCACAAUGGGGGAAACUCUGAUGCAGCGACGUCGCGUGAGUGAAGAAGUAUCUCGGUAUGUAAAACUUCAUCUGCAGGGAAGAGAAUGACGGUACCUGAGUAAGAAGCCCCGGCUAACUACGUGCAAGCAGCCGCGGUAAUAUGGAGGGGGCAAGCGUUAUCCGGAUGUACUGGGCGUAAAGGGAGCGUAGUGGGCGUAGAAAGUCUGAAGUGAAAGCGUGCGGCUCAACCGCGGAAGUGCUGUGGAAACUUUUUUGCUGGAGUACAGGAGAGGUAAGCGGAAUUCGUGGUGUAGCGGUGAAAUGCGUAGAUAUUAGGAAGAACACCAGUGGCGAAGGCAGCUUACUGGACGGUAACUGACGUUGAGGCUCGAAAGCGUGGGGAGCAAACAGGAUUAGAUACCCUGGUAGUC